UCGGAGCCGAGGGCACCUCCCAGAACACAGAUGGUACGGGACGGGGUGGAGCUACCGGGGUCCUCGUUAAGAGAAUUGCACUAAUCGAACGACAGCAGUAGCGAUCUGUGCACGACAUCAGCUCCCGGGGCGGCACCCAGACCUACAGUAUAGCUCCCCGCGCGCGGGAGCACGACUGGGGGCGGAGAGGGAGGAGCCCGGUGGGCUCGGGCGGAGUCGGACCGCCAGGUGCUCCCAUGUGCGGCCGGCAGGGGGCGCCAGCGGAUCGAGGACUCGACCUCCGCUCUGCCAGCCGAGACUAUGACACGUGGCACCUCAGAGCCGGACCUGCACUUGCCAGGGCUGAGGCGCGGGAGGAGGUGCCCUAGGGCCCGCCCAUAAGGAGCGGCCGAGAGCAUGCUGGGAGGUUGGCCUCUAGGUAGCCUUGGCUGAGUCAGUCUGUGUUACCUCCUCCCCCCAUCUUCCACCCCUGACUGUUGUGUUGAAGUUCCCGGGUGUGAGGCUUGCACUCAGAAGAGAUGACUUUUAAUUCUAGUCAGCAAGCGUUAUUGAAGCGUCUACUAUGUACUAACCGCUGGAGGAUACAAAGACUAGCAAAAACAGCCCCAGCCCUAAGGGAACGUUCUAGUUGUUGGGGGGAGACCACGUGUAAACAAUUACUGUACGGUUAAACUAGAUUUAGAUUGGCUGAAUAGAGAUCAUCCCAGGAGAGGACGCUGGCAUUGAAGGGAUAGAAGAGUGGAGAUGAUCAUGAAUGGGGACUGGGAAAGUGGAGAUUAUCCCAGAAGAAGACGCUGACAUUGACAGGGCCUCGGAAAGUCCAGCUUUUCCCCACAGUGAAUCAAUCGAUGAGCUCGUACAGAAUAUUUCAGACUUGACCAAUUUAGGGAUUUGUUUUGCUUGUUUAUACAUACAAUAGUGUCGUGCUUUCAAUUUGGGGCUGAAGAGUGUACAACAGAAUAACCAAAAUUGGAUUCGUUCUUCCUCUGAAUGUGGAUAGUGUUCUUUCCUAAAAGCAAAUUCUAAGGAACCUCGAAGAACAGAUAUUCAGCUAUAAAUCUGGAGAAGUUUUGGCAUCAUCGAUUUAAAGCUGGAAGGGACCUCAGAGACCAUCUGGUGCAGAGCCCUAUUUUACAGAUGAGGAAAGUGAAACCAAGAGGCGAUGUGUAACUUGCCAAAGUGUUAGACUGGAUUUUUACUCAGGUCCUCUCAUUGGUGUUUAUCCCAUGCCCAGUAGGAAAUGUGUAGUACAUGUACAAACCUUUUGUGCUGUGAAUUUAGGAAACAUCUCCCCAGAAAGAAUAGCCUCAAAGACCAAAAAAAUAUCAUCUUCUCAAUUAUAUAACUAAACACAGACUCUCAGCUUGAUUCUAUCCCAAAGGGGGAAGGGGGAGGGGGUGGACGGCGGCUCCAUUAUCCUAAACCUAACUAUUAGAAUGUGAUUAAAGGCCUCUAGGCCCACCAAGAUGGUCUAAUGACAUUAGAUACAGGGAAUCUUCCAACAGACCUGAUCUUGGAUGACACCAAACUUAUUCCAAAAUUAAGACGUUCUCUUCUGUUCCUCCCUACAAUGACCUGACAUCUUGUCCUUUUACUGUCUCCUAAAUAAGGAAAGUGGCUUCUUUCUUCAAAUGGGCCUCUUUUGCCACUUGCUCUAAGGCUAUGUAAACCCUAUGAGUGUGUGUAUGUCAUCUGCAGACUCUAUCUAAACUUUUUUAAUUUUAUAGCUCAGUCUCCAGGUUUAUUGACCUCCAGUCAACAGGCCCUAGAUGAAAGGAAUUACACUCUGGGAAUACAUUUGGACCUCUGAGUAGAGGAAUUCCCCAACAGAAAAAAAGAAGAGUUCUUACCUUGAAGGGUCAACAAAUUUGUAGAUUGAUCCAUGUGGUGCAUAGGCACUUGGAUAAGAGGUGGCCAGAAAAUACAGCUCUCCUAAACAACCAAAAACAGGCAAGACUGAGGGAUUUUAAUUUUAUCAGAACUUAAUCACUCAAGACAUCUCUCAGGGGUUGCAGAGCACAUAUAAGGGGUCCAGUCUGCAAACAAAGAAAAUAAGACUGAAUCUCUACCUUAUUAUAAGCCUCAAGAUGGAAGCAGUAGGUGCAAAAACAAGACUAGAACUCAAAACUGGAUUUCUUAGUCCUUCCUGGAGGCCCUUCUACUCUAAGAAAUGUUGUACUGGACUACAUCUUCAUUCAGUUUGAUUCAAUAAACCUAGAGGGUCUACCCAUACAAAAACAAAACGGUCCCUGCCCUCAAAAGCUAUGUGCCAAGUAUUUGUAUUUACCAAGAUUGUCUCAUUCAAUCCUCACAGCAGUCCUAGGAUGUAGGUGCUAUUAUUUUCCCCAUUUUUCAGUUGAGGAAACUGAAGCACAUAGCUGUUAAGUGGCCCUACCCAGGGUCACACAGCUAGUGAGUAUCCAAAGCUGAAUUUGAACUCAGGAACUCCUGAUUCCAGGCCCAGAACUCUAAUCACUGUGCCACCUCGCUUGCCUUCCAUUGUGGUAGAGGACCCAAAAUAUAUAAUAAUAAAUACAAGGAAAAUGAGGAAAGCGAGAAUAUCCAAUAGCACUGGGGGUGGGGAAGGGGACAAUCAAAGACAGCUUCAGGGAGGAUUGGCUUCUGACUUGAGCCUAGAUGGAAGAUAAGGAUUCUAAGAGGUGGGGAUGCAAGAAGUGCCUCAGACCAUUGGUUCUGCCAAUGCAGAGAGGCAGGAGGUGGAGUAUGAAGUUCAAGGAAAGGUUAGUAACCCAGUUUGCCUAGAACAUAGACAUCUUGAAGGUAUGUCAUAUGAAAUAAUGGUAGUGACAGCUAGCAUUUAUGUGGUGCUUUCAGAUUUGCCCAGGACUUUACAUUUUAAAAUUCAUUUGAUUUUUGACAACAACUCUAUAAAGUAGGUGUUCCUAUUAUCUUCAUUUCACAGAUGAGAAACUGAGAAACAUAGAAGUUAAGGAAAUUGCUUAGGGUCGCCCAACUGUGUCUGAAACAGGAUUUGAACCCAGGUGUCUCCUACCCCUUGCUCUAUCCACUAUGCCAUCUAGUUUGCCCUCAUGGGCCACCUGGUUUACUUCAUCAACUUUGGAAAGGUAGAUGAGAACUGGAUCUGUCAUUCAUAAUGCUGCUUUUUCUGGAAUGUGUAUGUAUAAAUGUAUAGAAUCAAAUAAAUAAAUUUGGUAUAUAUGUAUACAUGUAUAAUACAUAUAGGACCUCAGAGGCCAUCUAGGCCAAUUCAUUCCUGAAUUCAUAAUCCCUUGUAUAUCUCCACAGAGUAGUGGUCAGGCCUCUGCCUGAGGCCCUUCAGUGAGGAAGAAGCCAUCUGACCUCCCCAGGGAACACAUUCCACUUUUGGAAAGUUCAAAUUGGAAGGCAGUUUUUGCCAAUAUCAAAACAACUUCUCUAUCUACUACUCCAAGCUAUCUCUCUUACAAGAAUAUAAAUAUGUAUUUGUAUUAUAGAUUAACUUAUAUUAUCUAUUUACUAUAUCAUAAUAUUUAUCAUA